rnacentral:rRNA from 1 species
GACGAACGCUGGCGGCGUGCCUAAUACAUGCAAGUUGAGCGCUGAAGGUUGGUACUUGUACCAACUGGAUGAGCAGCGAACGGGUGAGUAACGCGUGGGGAAUCUGCCUUUGAGCGGGGGACAACAUUUGGAAACGAAUGCUAAUACCGCAUAAAAACUUUAAACACAAGUUUUAAGUUUGAAAGAUGCAAUUGCAUCACUCAAAGAUGAUCCCGCGUUGUAUUAGCUAGUUGGUGAGGUAAAGGCUCACCAAGGCGAUGAUACAUAGCCGACCUGAGAGGGUGAUCGGCCACAUUGGGACUGAGACACGGCCCAAACUCCUACGGGAGGCAGCAGUAGGGAAUCUUCGGCAAUGGACGAAAGUCUGAACGAGCAACGCCGCGUGAGUGAAGAAGGGUUUCGGAUCGUAAAAAUCUGUUGGUAGAGAAGAACGUUGGUGAGAGUGGAAAGCUCAUCAAGUGACGGUAACUACCCAGAAAGGGACGGCUAACUACGUG